UAUCUUUGCAGAGAAGGAGACCACAGGUGAGAGAGGCAAAGUCAAGUCAGUGGCCUGAAGUCACGCAGCUGACUGUGAGUGACAGAAUCAGGACACAGACCAGGGGCUCUCUGCUCCAGAGUCAGAGCCCCUCCCAAGCCUGAGACCCUCUGACCCCAGCAGGGUCUGUGGCCCUAGUAAAGACCGGCCCGUUCAUUUCCUGGUCUCGAGCUACUACAUCCCCCAGGGAGCCCCAGUGGAAAGACUGAAAGUGUGCCCUGAAUUCUGCCCUCUCAGACUGACGGGCAAAGGCAUCACUUCCACACCUGGAAAAAGAAGCAAACCUCCCUUGAGAAGCACCGUGCACCGGAAUCCAGUUUAUGGUAUCAUGGCAUCUGAGGUUGCGGUCUAUCUUGGUGACCAGCCACGUGAGCCUGAGAAGGUGUGUCGUGCUCAGGCUGGGGCGUGGCAUCCUCUCCAGACGCCCAGCAGCCUGGCUCGGUGACGGGAGGCGCUCCUGUGCUGCCCACUCACUCCGUCAGGAGCCCCAUCGUUACUGAGAGGGACGCGGACGUUUCAGGCGCGACCGUGGACACGCCUGCUUGUUUCGGAUCCGUCAGGUUCUUCUGGGCAUCGUGCAGCUCUGCUGUUAGAUGUACACGCAACGUGACUAUGUCUUCAUUGGGAACAUCCCACCUCAUCCCUGCACCAUGGUUAUGACAUGUCUGGGCACUGACUUUGUGAGUUCAUCCUGUCUGGAGUUCACUGAGCCUCCUGGUCCCCUGAAUCUGUAGGUUUAUAUCUUUUGCAAGAUUUGCA